rnacentral:rRNA from 1 species
UACGGAGAGUUUGAUUCUGGCUCAGGACGAACGCUGGCGGCGUGCUUAACACAUGCAAGUCGAACGGAAAGGCCCUGCUUUUGUGGGGUGCUCGAGUGGCGAACGGGUGAGUAACACGUGAGUAACCUGCCCUUGACUUUGGGAUAACUUCAGGAAACUGGGGCUAAUACCGGAUAGGAGCUCCUGCUGCAUGGUGGGGGUUGGAAAGUUUCGGCGGUUGGGGAUGGACUCGCGGCUUAUCAGCUUGUUGGUGGGGUAGUGGCCUACCAAGGCGGCGACGGGUAGCCGGCCUGAGAGGGUGACCGGCCACAUUGGGACUGAGAUACGGCCCAGACUCCUACGGGAGGCAGCAGUGGGAAUAUUGCACAAUGGGCGGAAGCCUGAUGCAGCAACGCCGCGUGCGGGAUGACGGCCUUCGGGUUGUAAACCGCUUUCAGCAGGGACGAAGCUUUUUGUGACGGUACCUGUAUAAGAAGC